rnacentral:rRNA from 1 species
GGGCAACAGCCCAGAUCGUCAGCUAAGGUCCCUAAAUGUAAGUUAAGUGGUAAAGGAUGUGGGAUUGCACAGACAACCAGGAUGUUGGCUUAGAAGCAGCCACUCAUUCAAAGAGUGCGUAAUAGCUCACUGGUCGAGUGAUCCUGCGCCGAAGAUUUCCGGGGCUAAAACUUACUACAGAAGCUACGGCAUCAGUAAUGAUGGGUAGGGGAGCUUCCCAUACGGGUUGAAGCACGACCGUAAGGACAUGUUGACAGUAUGGGAGUGAGAAUGUUGGCAUGAGUAGCGAGAUGUGGGUG